rnacentral:rRNA from 1 species
UACGUAGGGUGCAAACGUUGCUCGGAAUCAUUGGGCGUAAAGCGCACGUAGGCGGCUAUGAAAGUUGGAUGUGAAAGCCCUGGGCUCAACCCAGGAAGUGCAUCCAAAACUUCAUAGCUUGAGUCUCGGAGGGGCCCAGAGAAUUCCCGGUGUAGAGGUGAAAUUCGUAGAUAUCGGGAGGAAUACCAGUGGCGAAGGCGCUGGGCUGGACGACGACUGACGCUGAGGUGCGAAAGCGUGGGGAGCAAACAGG